rnacentral:rRNA from 1 species
CCCGGGCGCACGGGUGAGUAACGAGUAUGCAACUUGCCUAUCAGAGGGGGAUAACCCGGCGAAAGUCGGACUAAUACCGCAUGAAGCAGGGAUCCCGCAUGGGAAUAUUUGCUAAAGAUUCAUCGCUGAUAGAUAGGCAUGCGUUCCAUUAGGCAGUUGGCGGGGUAACGGCCCACCAAACCGACGACGGAUAGGGGUUCUGAGAGGAAGGUCCCCCACAUUGGUACUGAGACACGGACCAA